rnacentral:lncRNA from 1 species
GAAAUAAAUCACCAUGAUUUUUAAGAAAAAAGAUGAAAAACUUAUAUUCAUUCAGAAAAUACCUAGAAUGGCUAUUUUAUAUAAAACAACAAACAUCAGAAAACAUCAUAAAAUACUGAUCUGUUGCAAUGACCUAAAUUUGACUCUUCUUCAUCUGGGCCAGGCAGUGAUGGUUUUAAAUAAAACAUGCAGUUUGUGGAUUAUCUGGUUAAUUCACAAGCCAGAUAAGCCAACUCUGGAUAAUCAGGAAUCUACUGUAUUUUGAAAACAGUGAGAUAUAUUUUGAGAGGUAAAUAAAUGAAAAUAAACUUAAAAUUCAGAAAAAGUUAUUUAAAUUUUUAAUUUAAGAGGCG